UGAGGAAUAUUGCACAAUGGGCGCAAGCCUGAUGCAGCGACGCCGCGUGAGUGAUGAAGGCCUUCGGGUCGUAAAGCUCUUUUCUAGGUGACGAGAAUGGACGGUAGCCUAGGAAUAAGUGUCGGCUAACUACGUGCCAGCAGCCGCGGUAAAACGUAGGACACAAACGUUAUCCGGAGUUACUGGGCGUAAAGGGCGCGCAGGCGGAUUGGUAAGUCUACUCUGAAAGCUCCUGGCUAAACUGGGAGAGGCGAGUGGAGACUGUCAGUCUAGAGUGAGGAAGAGGAAAGUGGAAUUCCGCGUGUAGUGGUGAAAUGCGUAGAGAUGCGGAGGAACACCAGUGGCGAAAGCGGCUUUCUGGUCCUUAACUGACGCUGAGGCGCGAAAGCAUGGGGAGCGAACGGGAUUAGAAACCCCGGUAGUCCAUGCCGUAAACGAUGUUCACUAAACGUUCGUUUCCCGCGAGGGAAGCGGGUGUUGAAGCUAACGCAGUAAGUGAACCGCCUGGGGAGUACGGUCGCAAGGCUA
rnacentral:rRNA from 1 species